rnacentral:tRNA from 1 species
AGUAAAGUAAGCUAAAAAAGCUUUCGGGCCCAUACCCCGAGAAUGCGGACGAAACCCCCGUCUUUACCU